ACACCUCCAUGUGUGUGCAGUGUGAAGAUUCUGAACAUCUAAGCAGGCAUCAAAAAUUCAAACUCAGUUGGAGAAAGAUGGACAUUCCAGGCUUAAAUACUGAGAUUCAGAACGUUGAACCAGGAGAGGAACAUGAAUUUACUGUCUACAUGCUUAGUGAUGAUGACAAACCAAUUAUGUCUGCAUCAAGAAAUGUAUUGACAGAAAUCCCCCCUCCUGUAGAUGUGAAGUUGUGCUCUGAUGAUGGAACUGUCUCAGUGUCAUGGAAGAAACCUGCAGGACUGAACGCUGCAUCGUACCUCGUCUCCUUGUACAGUAAUAAGAUGCCGAUGAAGAGUUUAUACACCCAGUCUCAGAACUGUUCUUUCCAACUUCAACCUGACAAGAAGCACAUGAUCAGCAUCGAGACUGUACUGAAAAAUGGCAAAAAGAGCAAACCUGUCGAAAUUACCCCCUAUAAAGGUCAGGUUCCUGCACCAGAGAAUCUUUCUGUGGAGGUGAACUCACCAUCAGUAUCAGUAACAUGGAGAAAACCACCAGGAGUAGAUCAGGUCUCAUACCUGCUGUCCUACGGAAGUAAAGGAGAAGAAGAACAGACCAUUUCUACAGAGUCUCUCCAAUAUUCUCUAGAUGAUCUACGGUUUUGUUCAGAGUACAAGAUCAGGGUCUGUACUGUACUGAACAACCUUCACCACAGUAAACCUGUCUACAAGAACAUCAGGACAGGUAAGAAAAUUAAUUUGUGCAAAUGCAACAAAAUGAAGCCUUCUACACUUAAAGAUUGGUUAUCUGCUCAAAAUGAACAAUGGAGUCAAUUUUGAAAAGU
rnacentral:lncRNA from 1 species